rnacentral:rRNA from 1 species
CAAUAGCGUAUAUUAAAGUUGUUGCAGUUAAAAAGCUCGUAGUUGGAUUUGUGGCGUACGGUGUGUUCCGGGCACUUGUUGUCUGAGUAACAUGCUGUUGCCAUCCUUGGGUGGAACCUGUGUGGCAUUAGGUUGUCGUGCAGGGGAUGCCCAUCAUUUACUGUGAAAAAAUUAGAGUGUUCAAAGCAGGCUUAUGCCGUUGAAUAUAUUAGCAUGGAAUAAUGAGAUAGGACUUUUUUGCUAUUUUGUUGGUUUGCGCAAAGAGGUAAUGAUUAAUAGGGACAGUUGGGGAUAUUCGUAUUCCAUUGUCAGAGGUGAAAUUCUUGGAUUUUUGGAAGACGAACUACUGCGAAAGCAUUUACCAAGGAUGUUUUCAUUAA